UGGAAGGUAGCUCAAUUGGCAGAGCACCGGUUUUUGGUACCGUAGGUUACAGGUUCGAAUCCUGUCCUUCCAGCCA
rnacentral:tRNA from 1 species